GGUGGUUCUCGGGUAAUGGGAACUGGAAUUGGGCUCCCUCCUCUCUGGUUCCUGGUGCAUCACCCAAGAACUAAA
rfam:Myotis davidii contig18493, whole genome shotgun sequence.